AAAAAAGGGAAAAACCCAGAACAGAACUCUUACGAAUUUUAGCCGAACGAUUUGCUUUCAGAUUUCCAUCAAGUAUAGAGAGAGUGUGUCGUAUUGUGUAGUCCGAAAUCGGAAAUCUGAAGUCGGAAAUCGAGAUUUGAGCGAUGGAUCGACGUGCCAAUAGUAUCACCGAAAUCCGUGUGGCCUGUUUUAUUCGCCAAGCUCGUGCGCGGCAGGAGCUAUAUCUGCGGAUGGGACAGAAACGGAUUGAACAACGAAUUAAAAACCAUGACGCCUUUGCGGCCAAAGUGAAAGAAGUGUGCGAACAUAGUGCUGCGGUUCUCGCUAAGAAUCGUCCAAACGUGCGGGAAUAGAGUGCCCUGGUUCUGGAAAAGAGGACGCCGUUUAGACUCUCAUUUUCGUCAUGUGUAAGUUAAGGCAACAGAAUCGGCCCUUGUGUUUUACUUUGUUUUAGUUUUGUUACGGUGUCACAGUAUAAGUGUCUAAAUCAAUGUUUGCUUCGUUGCGAGCUACUGGAGCAUGGCAAUAAACGCGUAACGACAAA